rnacentral:rRNA from 1 species
UACGUAGGUGGCAAGCGUUGUCCGGAUUUACUGGGCGUAAAGAGCGCGCAGGCGGCCAAGUCAGUCGAAUGUGAAAGCCCCCAGGCUCAACUGGGGAGGUCAUUCGAUACUGCUCGGCUCGAAGACAGGAGAGGGAAGUGGAAUUCCCGGUGUAGUGGUGAAAUGCGUAGAUAUCGGGAGGAACACCAGUGGCGAAGGCGACUUUCUGGCCUGUUCUUGACGCUGAGGCGCGAAAGCUAGGGGAGCAAACAGGG